rnacentral:tRNA from 1 species
GGGUUGUUAGCUCAGUUGGUAGAGCAGUUGACUCUUAAUCAAUUGGCCGGGGGUUCGAGCCCCCCACAACCCACCA